rnacentral:lncRNA from 1 species
UCCACUUUAGGGAUGAAUUAUCAUUGUACUUGUAAACCAAUGCUACCAGCUAAGGUCAUAAGUUAUUAUUUUGUCUGUCUACGGAUGUUAUAAUUUUCUUUUGGUAUAAUUUACUUGGUAUCAGAUUAUAAAUCACCAUAAAUUUUAGUUAUUGGUUUCUAUUUAUAAGAUCUUUGACACUUGUUACGCAUAAUAAAAGAAACUUGACGAUGUAAUAAAUGUUUAUAGUUUGUAUAUACUCUCCUUAUUAAUAUUAAGGAUUAGUUUGUUUUGACUUUUUUUUAAGGUGAUUUUAUAGAAUAAUCUAAUUUUGUGUAAAGAAAUUUAUAAAGAAAUUUUUCAUAAAAGUC